GGGUGCAAACGUUGUUCGGAAUUACUGGGCGUAAAGCGUGUGUGGGCGGCUACGCAAGUCGGAUGUGAAAGCCCCGGGCUCAACCCGGGAAGUGCACCCGAAACUGCGUGGCUCGAGUACCGGAGAGGUUGGUGGAAUUCUCGGUGUAGAGGUGAAAUUCGUAGAUAUCGAGAGGAACACCGGUGGCGAAGGCGGCCAACUGGACGAGUACUGAAGCUGAGACACGAAAGCGUGGGGAGCAAACAGG
rnacentral:rRNA from 1 species